UACGUAGGGGGCAAGCGUUGUCCGGAAUCAUUGGGCGUAAAGAGCGUGUAGGCGGCUCGAUAAGUCUGCUGUGAAAGUCCAGGGCUCAACCCUGGAAGGCCGGUGGAAACUGUCGGGCUCGAGUCCGGAAGAGGCGAGUGGAAUUCCUGGUGUAGCGGUGAAAUGCGCAGAUAUCAGGAGGAACACCAAUGGCGAAGGCAGCUCGCUGGGACGGUACUGACGCUGAGACGCGAAAGCGUGGGGAGCAAACAGG
rnacentral:rRNA from 1 species